rnacentral:rRNA from 1 species
GUAUAGUACCGUGAGGGAAAGGUGAAAAGAACCCCGGGAGGGGAGUGAAAUAGAACCUGAAACCCUGCACUUACAAGCUGUGGAAGCACAUUUCUUGUGUGACCGCGUACUUUUUGUAGAACGGGCCAACGAGUUACGUUAAGUAGCAAGGUUAAGCACUUAAGGUGCGGAGCCGUAGCGAAAGCGAGUUUUAACUGAGCGUUCAGUUACUUGACGUAGACCCGAAACCGGGCGACCUACCCAUGAGCAGGAUGAAGCGAAAGUAAAAUUUCGUGGAGGUCCGAACCCACGAGCGUUGAAAAGCUCGGGGAUGACUUGUGGGUAGCGGUGAAAUUCCAAUCGAGCCCGGAGAUAGCUGGUUCUCCCCGAAAUAGCUUUAGGGCUAGCCUCAAGGUGAGAGAUACGGAGGUAGAGCACUGAAUGUCCUAGGGGGUAUUGCACCUACCGAAGACUAUCAAACUCCGAAUGCCGUCAUCUUAUACUUGGGAGUCAGACUGUGGGUGAUAAGAUUCAUAGUCGAAAGGGCAACAGCCCAGAUCGUCAGCUAAGGUCCCUAAAUGUAAGUUAAGUGGUAAAGGAUGUGGGAUUGCACAGACAACCAGGAUGUUGGCUUAGAAGCAGCCACUCAUUCAAAGAGUGCGUAAUAGCUCACUGGUCGAGUGAUCCUGCGCCGAAGAUUUCCGGGGCUAAAACUUACUACCGAAGCUACGGCAUCAGUAAUGAUGGGUAGGGGAGCUUCCCAUACGGGUUGAAGCAUGACCGUAAGGACAUGUGGACAGUAUGGGAGUGAGAAUGUUGGCAUGAGUAGCGAGAUGUGGGUGAGAAUCCCACAGGCCGUAAACCCAAGGUUUCCAGGGGAAGGUUCGUCCGCCCUGGGUUAGUCGGGACCUAAGCUGAGGCCGAAAGGCGUAGGUGAUGGACAACAGGUUGAUAUUCCUGUACUACCGAUAACCGUUUGAGAGAAGGGAUGACACAGUAGGAUAAGCUAAGCACACUGUUGGUUAUGUGUGCCCAAGCAUUGAGGCAGUCAAAGUAGGCAAAUCCGCUUUGAUAAUGCUGGGAUGUGAUGGGGAGCGAAAUUUAGUAGCGAAGUAGCUGAUUUCACACUGUCAAGAAAAGUCUCUAUCGAGGUUAAAGGUACCCGUACCGCAAACCGACACAGGUGGGUGAGGAGAGUAUCCUAAGGCCAGCGAGAGAACUGUUGUUAAGGAACUCGGCAAAAUGACCCCGUAACUUAGGGAUAAGGGGUGCCACCAUCAGGUGGCCGCAGAGAAUAGGCCCAAGCGACUGUUUACCAAAAACAUAGGUUUCUGCUAAGUCGCAAGACGAUGUAUAGGAGCUGACGCCUGCCCGGUGCUGGAAGGUUAAGGGGAUCUGUUAGAGCAAUCGAAGCAGUGAACUUAAGCCCCAGUAAACGGCGGCCGUAACUAUAACGGUCCUAAGGUAGCGAAAUUCCUUGUCGGGUAAGUUCCGACCCGCACGAAAGGCGUAACGAUUUGGGCACUGUCUCAACAACAGACUCGGUGAAAUUGUAAUUCCGGUGAAGAUGCCGGAUACCUGCGACAGGACGGAAAGACCCCAUGGAGCUUUACUGUAGCUUGACAUUGGGUCUUGGUACUACAUGUACAGGAUAGGUGGGAGGCUUUGAAACCAGGACGCCAGUUUUGGCGGAGCCAUCCUUGGGAUACCACCCUUGUAGUACUGGGACUCUAACCAUAGGCCAUGAAUCUGGUCUUGGGACACUGUCAGGUGGGCAGUUUGACUGGGGCGGUCGCCUCCCAAAAGGUAACGGAGGCGCUCAAAGGUUCUCUCAGUACGGUCGGAAAUCGUACGUAGAGUGUAAAGGCAAAAGAGAGCUUGAUUGCAAGACAUACAGGUCGAGCAAGGAUGAAAAUCGGACUUAGUGAUCCGGUGGUUCUGCGUGGAAGGGCCAUCGCUCAACGGAUAAAAGCUACCCUGGGGAUAACAGGCUUAUCUCCCCCAAGAGUCCACAUCGACGGGGAGGUUUGGCACCUCGAUGUCGGCUCAUCACAUCCUGGGGCUGUAGUAGGUCCCAAGGGUUGGGCUGUUCGCCCAUUAAAGUGGUACGCGAGCUGGG